AAUGGCAACUGUGAAACCUUUUUGGACCCACAGGUUAAAAAUGAAACCUUUGGACUAAACUGGCAAAAUGGCCCAAACCACAGGGACUAAAAUGGCAUUUAACUCUUUGUAAAAAGAAACAUAUCAAGGUUCAAGCAUUUUUAUAAAGUAAAUACAAAUGUAUAUUUAUGUUAACAACACUUCUAUAACCUUCAUUUGCGCGUGUGAGGUGACCUCGGUGUUCCAUCAUUCAACCUUCAACUCUUCACGGAACUACCAAAAGAAGCUUUGCAAAACAGAUUGUGACCGAUGAUUCCAGUAGGAAUUGCUAGAAACGCAUUUAAACUUUAUUGCUCGUUGCGUUGUAAUUUCCUUUCAAUCCUGUUGUAUUCUGUUUCCAAUACUUGUAAUAAUUAAUUAUCAAUGAAAUGAAAUUUAAUUAUUUGAAUACUUAUUGUGCAUUAUUUAUUUUAAUCUUGUGGUAUUCUAGUUCAAACCAUGUAAAAUGUAAUUAUUAAACACUUGACCCAAAAUAGUGUUAUGAAGUCUCUUGCAAUCUACACACUUCGUCUCAUCCCGAUGUUUCCGCCAUCGGUUGGGUGUGACAUAGAGGUUGUGUAGAGGACGACCAUGAUGACAGUUAGCAUUCUGACCAAGUCAAACCAGAAUCAGACCACCAUGAAGGAUGAUUACCCGGAUUCUACUGUAGUUGUAGAAUUGAUUUUGAAAGAAGAUGAGGUGGGAAGAUUGUAGUCGUUGGUUGAAAAGACUUCUUUUGGAACCAAAGGAUUGUGUAUCAUCUUCUACACCCCCAAAAGACUUGGUUUCUGAGGUUAAUGGUGCAGUUUGUGCAAAUGAAAUUGAGACCAGUGAAUACUCUGAUUGACAGGUGCUGACUAAAACAGGCUUCUAUUUGUUUGAUUAUCUCAAAAGGCUUCUUAAUAAUCAGAGACGAGGCAGAUCAGAUUCGAUCAACAAUAGAAAUGGAUGACAUUGAAUCAAACAACUACGUGCAAAAUAAAAAGGUCAAAUUACACAUACAAGGUGCAUAUUACAGGGCAAGAGGUAGCGAAGGCUGUGUUUUGGUUUUGUUAUGUUGUAAUUCUAUACUCUAAAUUUGAAUGUAGAUUAUGAAAGAUGAAGUUUGAAUGGUAUUAGUACUUCACAUUUCAUUCAUUUUGAUUGAAAAAAAAAUCUAAUUUUGUGA